rnacentral:rRNA from 1 species
UACGUAGGGUGCGAGCGUUGUCCGGAAUUACUGGGCGUAAAGAGCUCGUAGGUGGUUUGUCGCGUUGUCCGUGAAAACUCACAACUCAAUUGUGGGCGUGCGGGCGAUACGGGCAGACUAGAGUGUGGUAGGGGAGAUCGGAAUUCCUGGUGUAGCGGUGGAAUGCGCAGAUAUCAGGAGGAACACCGGUGGCGAAGGCGGAUCUCUGGGCCAUAACUGACGCUGAGGAGCGAAAGCAUGGGGAGCGAACAGG